ACUCAAAUGAAUUGACGGGGACCCGCACAAGCAGUGGAGUAUGUGGUUUAAUUCGACGCAACGCGAAGAACCUUACCAAGGCUUGACAUAAUACUGAAUAUGCUGGAAACAGUAUAGUCCUUCGGGACAGUAUUACAGGUGGUGCAUGGUUGUCGUCAGCUCGUGUCGUGAGAUGUUGGGUUAAGUCCCGCAACGAGCGCAACCCUUGUCAUUAGUUGCCAUCAGGUAAAGCUGGGCACUCUAAUGAGACUAUCGGUGAUAAACCGGGGGAAGGUGGGGACGACGUCAAAUCAUCAUGCCCCUUAUGUCUUGGGCUACACACGUACUACAAUGGCUAUUACAGAGGGUAGCAAAGGAGCAAUCUGGAGCCAAUCCCCAAAGAUAGUCUCAGUUCGGAUUGUGGGCUGCAACUCGCCCACAUGAAGUCGGAAUUGCUAGUAAUUGCAGGUCAGCAUACUGCAGUGAAUACGUUCCCGGGUCUUGUACACACCGCCCGU
rnacentral:rRNA from 1 species